rnacentral:rRNA from 1 species
GAUGAACGCUGGCGGCGUGCUUAAUACAUGCAAGUCGAACGAAGCACUUACGACAGAAGCCUUCGGGUGGAAGAUGUUUGUGACUUAGUGGCGGACGGGUGAGUAACGCGUGGGUAACCUGCCUUAUGCAGGGGGAUAACAGUUAGAAAUGACUGCUAAUACCGCAUAAGCGCACGGCACCGCAUGGUGCAGUGUGAAAAGAUUUAUCGGCAUAAGAUGGACCCGCGUCUGAUUAGCUAGUUGGUGAGGUAACGGCCCACCAAGGCGACGAUCAGUAGCCGACUUGAGAGAGUGAUCGGCCACAUUGGGACUGAGACACGGCCCAGACUCCUACGGGAGGCAGCAGUAGGGAAUAUUGCACAAUGGGGAAACCCUGAUGCAGCGACGCCGCGUGAGUGAUUGAAGCAUUUCGGUGCGUAAAGCUCUAUCAGCAGGGAAGAUAAUGACGGUACCUGACUAAGAAGCCCCGGCUAACUACGUGCC